rnacentral:tRNA from 32 species
GGCGGAUGUAGCCAAGUGGAUCAAGGCAGUGGAUUUGUGAA